rnacentral:rRNA from 1 species
UGCAGUCGAGCGAGAAGGGUUUCCUAGCUUGCUAGGAAACCUGGACAGCGGCGAAAGGGAGAGUAACGCGUAGUUAUGUGCCCAGGGGUUCGGAAUAGCCACGGGAAACUGUGGGUAAUGCCGAAUAACAUCUCCGGAUCAAAGGUGUGAUUCCGCCCUUGGAGCAGACUGCGUCCUACUAGCUAGUUGGCGGGGUAAUGGCCCACCAAGGCGACGAUGGGUAGCGGGUGUGAGAGCAUGACCCGUCUCACUGGGACUGAGACACUGCCCAGACACCUACGGGUGGCUGCAGUCGAGAAUCUUCGGCAAUGAGCGCAAGCUUGACCGAGCGAUGCCGCGUGUGGGAUGAAGGCCCUCGGGUUGUAAACCACUGUCGUAGGGGAGGAAGGCUCCGUGAAGAGCGGGGUUUGACCUAUCCUAGGAGGAAGUACGGGCUAAGUUCGUGCCAGCAGCCGCGGUAACACGAACCGUACGAACGUUAUUCGGAAUUACUGGGCUUAAAGGGUUUGUAGGCGGCCAUGUAAGUCAGGUGUGAAAUCCCUCGGCUCAACCGAGGAACGGCGCUUGAUACUGCAUGGCUUGAGGGAGACAGGGGUAAGCGGAACUGAUGGUGGAGCGGUGAAAUGCGUUGAUAUCAUCAGGAACACCGGUGGCGAAAGCGGCUUACUGGGUCUCUUCUGACGCUGAGGAACGAAAGCUAGG